rnacentral:rRNA from 1 species
UGACCGUAAGGACAUGUGGACAGUAUGGGAGUGAGAAUGUUGGCAUGAGUAGCGAGAUGUGGGUGAGAAUCCCACAGGCCGUAAACCCAAGGUUUCCAGGGGAAGGUUCGUCCGCCCUGGGUUAGUCGGGACCUAAGCUGAGGCCGAAAGGCGUAGGUGAUGGACAACAGGUUGAUAUUCCUGUACUACCGAUAACCGUUUGAGAGAAGGGAUGACACAGUAGGAUAAGCUAAGCACACUGUUGGUUAUGUGUGCCCAAGCAUUGAGGCAGUCAAAGUAGGCAAAUCCGCUUUGAUAAUGCUGGGAUGUGAUGGGGAGCGAAAUUUAGUAGCGAAGUAGCUGAUUUCACACUGUCAAGAAAAGUCUCUAUCGAGGUUAAAGGUACCCGUACCGCAAACCGACACAGGUGGGUGAGGAGAGUAUCCUAAGGCCAGCGAGAGAACUGUUGUUAAGGAACUCGGCAAAAUGACCCCGUAACUUAGGGAUAAGGGGUGCCACCAUCAGGUGGCCGCAGAGAAUAGGCCCAAGCGACUGUUUACCAAAAACAUAGGUUUCUGCUAAGUCGCAAGACGAUGUAUAGGAGCUGACGCCUGCCCGGUGCUGGAAGGUUAAGGGGAUCUGUUAGAGCAAUCGAAGCAGUGAACUUAAGCCCCAGUAAACGGCGGCCGUAACUAUAACGGUCCUAAGGUAGCGAAAUUCCUUGUCGGGUAAGUUCCGACCCGCACGAAAGGCGUAACGAUUUGGGCACUGUCUCAACAACAGACUCGGUGAAAUUGUAAUUCCGGUGAAGAUGCCGGAUACCUGCGACAGGACGGAAAGACCCCAUGGAGCUUUACUGUAGCUUGACAUUGGGUCUUGGUACUACAUGUACAGGAUAGGUGGGAGGCUUUGAAACCAGGACGCCAGUUUUGGCGGAGCCAUCCUUGGGAUACCACCCUUGUAGUACUGGGACUCUAACCAUAGGCCAUGAAUCUGGUCUUGGGACACUGUCAGGUGGGCAGUUUGACUGGGGCGGUCGCCUCCCAAAAGGUAACGGAGGCGCUCAAAGGUUCUCUCAGUACGGUCGGAAAUCGUACGUAGAGUGUAAAGGCAAAAGAGAGCUUGAUUGCAAGACAUACAGGUCGAGCAAGGAUGAAAAUCGGACUUAGUGAUCCGGUGGUUCUGCGUGGAAGGGCCAUCGCUCAACGGAUAAAAGCUACCCUGGGGAUAACAGGCUUAUCUCCCCCAAGAGUCCACAUCGACGGGGAGGUUUGGCACCUCGAUGUCGGCUCAUCACAUCCUGGGGCUGUAGUAGGUCCCAAGGGUUGGGCUGUUCGCCCAUUAAAGUGGUACGCGAGCUGGGUUCAGAACGUCGUGAGACAGUUCGGUCCCUAUCCGUCGCAGGCGUAGGAAAUUUGAGAAGACCUGUCCUUAGUACGAGAGGACCGGGAUGGACGUACCUCUGGUGUACCAGUUGU